ensembl:lncRNA
CAACUGAACUGAACUAUUUCCCCAGAUAGGAGUGCCUCUCACUGAUGCUUUCACAUUUAUCAUUGUAGAAUUUUUCAUACAUAAUUAAAAAAUCUUCUCUGUUUUUGCUUGCAUAGGUCCUUUGACAAUUAAUCAUUAAUUUGGUAAAUCAUUUCAGGUGGCUCCCUUUGGGCUGUUUUUCUACUCUGAAGGUUUUGUUGAGAUUUUUUCCAUUAAUUUCUAAUUACAACAUUGGAAUUGAGUUCUUUUUGUGAUUUUUAUUGUGCUAUAUAUGGCAGUUAUAAUUUGGUACCCUUUUUAUCUCGCUUGAAUUUCUGUGUCUGGCUGCUGUGUGGGUACAUAUCUUUUCUUCAUUCUGAGUUCUAAAUUUGCCCUUGGCAGUAAGCUGUCUCUGUUUUAUGACAUGCUGAUCUAUGAGCUAUGUCUCUCCUUUGUCUGUUGUUAUAAACAAACCUGAGCUGACUAGGAGUAUUUCUCUAGUGAAUCAGUAGUCUGCUUAACAUUCUACAGUUUCCAGCACGACAGAAUAAGAGACUCAUAAAUACCCCGGUUGUCUCGCCUCAUCCCUGACUUUCAGGAAAUCAUAUUUAAUUUCAUAUCUUUACUUGGGAAUGAAACUUUGGAGGUCUUCUGAGAAGGCUGAAAACAAUUUCACUGAAAAAUGGGAUUAUUAUACUACAUUUCACUGCUAGAGAGCAGUCAACAUCCAGGCUUCUGUUUAAAAUAUUGGACUUGGCCUCAGAUUCCUUUAAACGUAUGGUUGAAAAUAAAAUUGUACACAACAAGAAGGCUGUGAAAGUAAAGUUGUUGAAAACAAGGAUUUACAUGUUAUAACUGAAGGAAAAAUUUGACACCCAGGCAGGUAAGCUUUCUCCCAUAAUCAACCAGGUGAAGGCAGAGCUUUUCCUUCCUUCCUUCUUCCCCUCCCUCCUUCCUUCCUUCUUUCUCUCUUUCCCCCUCUCUCCCCCUCCCUCCUUCAUUCCUUUCCUUUUUUCUUUCCUCCUUAUCCUUUUCCCUUCUUUCUUCUUUCUUUCUUUCAGCAUAUAGGGAUGUAAGGAUUGUAUAUACCUGCAACAAGGGUAUAUGCUACCUUUAACAUUAAAAUUAAAACACCUAAGUUUAUGAACUGUUAUUGAAGCUGCUGCAAGUUUGGUGAACCAGUAAAAAUAACAACAUGAUUAUGAUUUUGAUUUUGAGCUUGGUCAUAGAUAGCUGGAGGGGUUUCCUGGUG